AAGACAUUCAACAAGCAGUUGUUGGAUAUGUAUAUGGUGAAUCUACUUGUGGACAGAGAGCUCUUUAUGAAUUAGGAUUAACUGGGAUUCCAAUAUACAAUGUUAAUAAUAACUGCGCAACUGGCUCUUCAGCUCUAAUCCUUGCAAAGCAGCUUAUACAAGGAGGUAUGGUUAUAAUAUUUAACCAUUUUUUGUACUUUCUAUGAACCACUGCAAUGUUUUGUUAAUGUGCUUUAAUUUAUGAACUUGGGACAGUAGCCGCAAUGCAAGUAGUGGGGAGCAAAUUGCUCAACCUACCAUUAACUUCUAUAAGGGAAAACGUUACUAAAGGGGCUAUACAAACACCCCAGAUGUAAUUGCUAUUGGGGAGGAAACGGAUAUGAAAACCCCCCUUUCCCUAUUAUAAGCCGAUGCACAAAGAACGAACAGGUCUCUUGUAAUGAGGCUUCACCAAGCAAAGGCUUCGUACGUUAUUCAGAACCCUUAGAUACCUCUAGUUCAACCUAGGGGAUAGAAACAAUAUGAAACCACACACCUUUCCAUAGUAUUGUAAACCAAAGUCAGAAGGAGGGCAAAGACUCCACAGUAUAGUGCAUAAUUUUGUAGAAAGGGGAAAAGGAAAAACGUUAGGAAGCACGUCACAACGGACCAUCACGGAAAGGGAAAAAUUAAAACUCAGGGCUUAUUAAUUAAAGGAAAACGCCCUUUGUGAAAUUAAACAAAGUUAGAAUUGAUUAAUGCUUUACAAUUUUUGCUUCACCUUAAUUUAAUUGCCAGUAUACCCUUUUAGGAUUAUUUGAUUAUCCAAGUUUUCUUUGAGAGUGAUCUCCAUAUAGCCACAGAAUAGGAAAUAGGCAGAAGGGUAACUCUCGUCGGUUCCUUUGUUGUUUUUGAAGCCUGAGUCAAUAAUAGAAUUCCUUAAUUCCCCUUUAACCUCGAUUUCAUUAGACGAGCUUAGCCAUGGCAAAUUAUUAUCCAUUAAUCAGACAUGAUACAUAAUUGAAUUUGUUCACUAUCAUGGGGCAUUUCGUCUCAAAUAAAGUUGUCUACUUUCCUUCUUUUUCAAAAAUUUCCCCGACACAUGCUAAGCCUCGUAUAAGUUAACGCAUGCAUUAUUUUUUUUCAGGCUUCUCCUGAUAGGCAGGAGUUCCCCUUUUGCCUAAUUUCUAUUCUGUGAUAUAGCAAUGGUCUCCGGGUUAAGCUCUCAGUUUGAGAAAGAGAUUAUACCAAAGGCAUAUUAGGUCUAUAUAUAAUAAUAAUAAUAAAUAAUUUGUUUAAAGUUGGCGUACUAAAUGAACGGUUUAUAGCUAUAGGGAAGCUAAUUAAGGCCAACUAUCUAUAAAGAGUUAGUAUGAAAUAAAAAUAUAUGAUACAAUAUUAAAAAGGUUUAAGGUAUAAUGUUCUAAAUAAAACCUAACCCAGCAAUAAAUUUUUUACACAAUCUACAGUCGCAUUCUAUAGGGUGUGCUCUUAAUUCUUUUUUAAAUGUUGCCAAUGAUUGGGACUCUCUUAUACUGUGAGAUAGUGUUUGCCACAGUUUUUGACCUAAAUAUCUCACAGUUUCUAUACCAUAAGAAGUUGUCCUGGCUUUUGGAAUGCAAAGAUUAUUUUUAGUUCGCAAAUCAUAAUGUACAUUUCUUGUUUCAAAAAUUUCACUCAUGAAACUAGGAUUCAGGUUAUGUUUCGUUUUGUAUAUUUCUAUCAUCAAAUACUGUAGAUUGCGUUGGUGAAUUGAUACUGCAUUAUCCAAAGUCAGCAAUGCUUCGUAGUCAGCAUUACUGUCUUUAUAAACAAUUCUGAGUGCUCUGUCGUGGAUUUUAUUUACUUUAGCAUUCAGACAUCUGUCAUGGAACAUCCAAAUUAGGGGGCAGUAACUAAACUGAGCUUUUAUGAAGCUGUUCAUUAGGAGACGCAGUUUAUCAGAACCCAUAAAUGGCGAAACUCUAGCAAGAGCAUGCAGUUUUUGGCUGGCUCUUUUGCAUAAAUUUGAGACGUGACUUUUGAAAUUAAGAUUUUUAUCUAUUAUCACCCCUAGAAGUUUUUCUUCAGAGCUUUCUUCAACAAUGGCCUCACCGAUUUUGAUCUUAAGGUCAUCUUGAUUUGUUCCAAAAGUAAGAAGAUGACAUUUCCCUGCAUUCAAUUUCAUAAAGUUUUCUGGAAACCAUUUUGAUAAAAUAAGAGCAUCAGUUUCUAGCCGUUCUAAAACUUUAUCUAAUUGACAGUCAGCUGCAAAAAUCGUAGUAUCAUCAGCAAAGUUACAUACUGCAGUAUCAGUUACCAUUAAGAAUAAAUCAUUAAUAUAUAAAUUAAAGAGAAGAGGCCCAAGGACUGAUCCUUGUGGUACACCUGCAAAGGUUUCUCGCCAAGUGCUGAAUGAACCAUUUAAUUUUACCCUUUGUCUUCUACCGGACAGGUAAAUAUAAAUCAAUAAUUGAGCAUCUUUACAAAAACCAUAGGCAUUUAAUUUCGCAAUUAAUAGCUCAUGGUCUAUGCAAUCAAACGCUUUUGAGAGAUCCAUUAGCAAGGCACCAACCACCCCUUUUUAUCUAGGGAAUUCUUGCAGAUAUCCAUUAAUCUCAACAGCGCAUGCUGUGUGUUGAAACCUUUCCGAAAACCACAUAAGUAGGGAACUAGGAACGUAUCCGCGAAGUCGACCAUCUGAGCAUAUAGAAGCCGUUCAAAGACCUUUGAUAAUGCGGAUAGAACGGUGAUAGGUCGAUAGUUUCGUUUUUCUGUAGUUUUGUCACUUUUGAAUAGUGGAGUUAUGUCUCCUAAUUUAAGAUCUUCAGGAAACGUUUUCUGGAGCAAUGAAUUAUUGAAAAUUGUCGUCAGUAAUGGUGCAAAAAUGUCUUCGUUUUCUUUCAGUAUCCGCGGAGGAAUACUUUCAAUAAACGAUUUACCGAUUACUAGCGCCAUUAUGAAAUGAGGGGAAAUUUCACUCGCCCCAAGCCC